AUGAAAUGCAAGGACGCUCUUUUUAGAGGUCCGACCCAAAUCAUUUUCCUUUACACUGUGCACAUACUACUUUUUACACCAAUUUUUAACACAUCAGUCUUAAGAAUGUAAAUCAAGUCUCGAAAGAGCAAUAAAUAAAACA
rnacentral:misc_RNA from 1 species